GAGCGCGCGCGGGCGGGUGUCGCCCUCGUCGCUCUCGACGACGCGGUCGAGGAGCUCGAGCUGGAGGUCGCCCUCUCCGGCGCGCUCU
rnacentral:tRNA from 1 species